GAUGAGCGCUGGCGGCGUGCCUAAUACAUGCAAGUCGAGCGAACGGACGAGAAGCUUGCUUCUCUGAUGUUAGCGGCGGACGGGUGAGUAACACGUGGAUAACCUACCUAUAAGACUGGGAUAACUUCGGGAAACCGGAGCUAAUACCGGAUAAUAUUUUGAACCGCAUGGUUCAAAAGUGAAAGACGGUCUUGCUGUCACUUAUAGAUGGAUCCGCGCUGCAUUAGCUAGUUGGUAAGGUAACGGCUUACCAAGGCAACGAUGCAUAGCCGACCUGAGAGGGUGAUCGGCCACACUGGAACUGAGACACGGUCCAGACUCCUACGGGAGGCAGCAGUAGGGAAUCUUCCGCAAUGGGCGAAAGCCUGACGGAGCAACGCCGCGUGAGUGAUGAAAGUCUUCGGAUCGUAAAACUCUGUUAUUAGGGAAGAACAUAUGUGUAAGUAACUGUGCACAUCUUGACGGUACCUAAUCAGAAAGCCACGGCUAACUACGUGCCAGCAGCCGCGGUAAUACGUAGGUGGCAAGCGUUAUCCGGAAUUAUUGGGCGUAAAGCGCGCGUAGGCGGUUUUUUAAGUCUGAUGUGAAAGCCCACGGCUCAACCGUGGAGGGUCAUUGGAAACUGGAAAACUUGAGUGCAGAAGAGGAAAGUGGAAUUCCAUGUGUAGCGGUGAAAUGCGCAGAGAUAUGGAGGAACACCAGUGGCGAAGGCGACUUUCUGGUCUGUAACUGACGCUGAUGUGCGAAAGCGUGGGGAUCAAACAGGAUUAGAUACCCUGGUAGUCCACGCCGUAAACGAUGAGUGCUAAGUGUUAGGGGGUUUCCGCCCCUUAGUGCUGCAGCUAACGCAUUAAGCACUCCGCCUGGGGAGUACGACCGCAAGGUUGAAACUCAAAGGAAUUGACGGGGACCCGCACAAGCGGUGGAGCAUGUGGUUUAAUUCGAAGCAACGCGAAGAACCUUACCAAAUCUUGACAUCCUUUGACAACUCUAGAGAUAGAGCCUUCCCCUUCGGGGGACAAAGUGACAGGUGGUGCAUGGUUGUCGUCAGCUCGUGUCGUGAGAUGUUGGGUUAAGUCCCGCAACGAGCGCAACCCUUAAGCUUAGUUGCCAUCAUUAAGUUGGGCACUCUAAGUUGACUGCCGGUGACAAACCGGAGGAAGGUGGGGAUGACGUCAAAUCAUCAUGCCCCUUAUGAUUUGGGCUACACACGUGCUACAAUGGACAAUACAAAGGGCAGCGAAACCGCGAGGUCAAGCAAAUCCCAUAAAGUUGUUCUCAGUUCGGAUUGUAGUCUGCAACUCGACUACAUGAAGCUGGAAUCGCUAGUAAUCGUAGAUCAGCAUGCUACGGUGAAUACGUUCCCGGGUCU
rnacentral:rRNA from 1 species